GGCUGAUUUCAAAACACUGCUUCAUGAAGAUUCGGAGCACAAUGAAUCAGCGUGUCGAAUCCGCAGUUCGGAGCGCCAAAGUCACGUGAUUUCAGCAGUUUGGUGGUUUGACACGCUGAUUCAUCACGCUCCUAAUCUUCCUGAAGCAGUGUUUUGAAAUCGGCCAUCACUAAAUAAGUCGUUUUUUUUUUUUUGGCGCACCAAAAAUAUUCUCUUCGCUUUAUAAUAUUAAUAUUGAACCACUGUACUCACAUGAACUGAUUUAAUAUGUUUUUAGUACCUUUAUGGAUCUUGAGAGAGGAAAUGUCAUUGCUCCCUAUGUAGGCCUCACGGAGCCAUCGGAUUUAAACAAAAAUGUCUUAAUUUGUGUUCCGAAGAUCAACGAAGAUCUUACGGGUGUAAAACGGCACGAGGGUGAGUAAUUAAUGACAGAAUUUUCAUUUUUGGGUGAACUAACCCUUUAAGAGAACGAUAACAAGGUGGCCAUGGACACUUUAUUCCCUUGGAAUUAUAAGGUUCUGUCUGCGUUCUGAGCGGUUUUGAGAUAUUGAGCUUCAAAGUUUUUGCAUUCCAUAUAGCAAAAACUAUAUGGGGAACAAGUUUCUUUCAAACAUGAAAAUGACAGGGACAGUAAAUGUAUUCUAAAUGUACAAUAUCAAAAUCCUCUCAAAUUUGUAAAUGGGGAUUUUUGGAACGGGUCAAAUGCAGAUAGAACCUUUUAAUUCUAAAAAAAAAAAAAAAACACUUUUCGCUUGGAAUUAUAAGGUUCUAUCUGGUAAAAAAUUAAUUGAAGCAAUAAUUUUCAAGAAACACAAACAGUUUGCUUAUAAUUUCCUUUAAAACAAAAUUAGUGUUGUAACAAUGUGUUGACAUGCAUGAGAAAGUUUAAUUUAAUAGUUUUUAUGACAUUUAUUUUUUUAUAUUUUAAAUGAAUAUUUAUAUAUGGGUAAUUUAACACAUUAUUGCAGGAACCAUUUAAGUAUAAGUUUCCUUUUGUUUAGACAGAAAGCAGCAAUAUUGUAAAAUUUAAGACAUUUUAAGACUAAAAAACUGCAAGAAAACAGACAAUGCUUCAGCAAAGGUGUUUAACAAAGUUUAAUAAACAUUGAAAAAUGUUUCACUGACUAUAUAUAAUUAAAAAUAUUUCACAUUUAAAAUAUUUAAAUUACUUCAACUAUGCAACAACUCAGUUUUUGCCAACAAUCUAAAAUUUAACAUUUCAUCUCACUUAAUCUAGUAUACACUUUAAUCCAGUUUGCCAUAGCGCAGAGCUUUAUAUCUACAUACAGCUCAAUUCAAGUACACAGGAUGGAUCAAGGUUAAAACAUAACCUAAUAUGUACAUAACUUUCCCUCGUAUGACGUGACUGGAAAUAAGUAAAUAGACUACAAAACCCGGACCUAUCCUUUUAAUAGCGCUGCUGGCGAAUGUUAGCAUGGUGUCUAACUGAAAAUAACUCCCUAACAAAAGAUACAGCAAAACACACAAAAAGACUGUAAUUCCCUGGAAUUUGGGCCGCUGUCAUUGUCAAGAUCAUAAAUAAAAUAGUCGAUCAUGAGCUUUCUAAUAAACAUCGCGUUGUGUGAAAUUAUUUAGUCUUCACCGAUUUAGCGUUUUCGUGCGCUCUCUUCCGCUAUUGUGGCGACAUGACAAAGAACGCUGAUCCUGAUUGGUCCUUGUGUGUGCAUUCAAAGUGCUGAUUGGCUCACACAGAUAAAACCUUAUAGAGCCAAGUUAAAGUGCGACUUUGUAGACAGAACCUUUUUGUUUUCUAAAAAAAGUACCAAAACUUAAAAAAAGAAACAUCACAUAAUGUAAAUAAGUUGUCACAGAAUAUGAAUAUGUGAAUAACUCAAUUUUGACAAAAAUGUCAGAUAGAACCUUCUAAUUCCAAGGGGACGACUUGUUCAUUUCUUUUUGGAAUCUUGUCCUGUACGCUCGUCCGCUGACUCGUAAAUAAUAACAAAUUAUUUUAUUUAUUUAUUUUUUUCGGGGCAAAUGGAGAGCAGUUUCUGGCUCAGUGGGCCUGGGGACAUGUCUUAUGUUGAAGUGGACUGGUCAACAUUUGUUUCUGUUGUUUGCGCACACCUACAUUCUCGUGUACAUGAUUAUGCAUCGCGAUGGAUUGGUAUCUAGCAUACAUCUUUAUCAUGAGGUACUUUUCUCCACAUGUUUUGGGAAUGUCCAGUUGUUGUUAUGGACUCAUGUGAAUUCUGUUUUGUCCUUUUUACUACAAAUUGAUUACGUCUCUAAUCCAGGUUUAUGUCUUCUCAAUGACGAUUCUAACUGCUGUAUGAGUUCAUUAAAGAAGAGAAUGUUGUUUGCUGGUUUUACAGCGGCAAAGAAGACAAUAAUACAGAACUGGUUUACUCCGAUGAAAAUGAUCUGAAAUUGACAUUUGACAUUUGAACUCCAGUGAAGUCCACUAUAUGGAGAAAAAUCCUGGAAUGUUUUCCUCAAAAACCUUAAUUUCUUUUCGACUGAAGAAAGAAAAACGGAUGACAUGGGGUGGCCUUCAAGAUCACAGAUCUGAAUCCAACAGAAAACCUUUGGUACAAUAAGAGAUCUGCAGAUAUUAUGGGAUUCAAUCAUGUCAACAUGGAGCAGAAUCCAGAAACCAUCUUGGAAACCUUUUAUCACGCCUUCAUCAUUAGUUUUUACUGCUUUGCCAAUGUGUUUUUAUCUUAUAUCUUAGAUUUUUUACACUCUUGUCCCAGACUCAAACGUUCAGUCUAAGCCUGUGAAAAUCCAUCAAAGAUAUCCUAAUAUUACUACAUAUUAAAUCUAUGAUGACCUAAAUAAACAAAGAGUGAAAUAAACUGAAACAAUUAUUUAAAAAUGAUGACCAUAUAGUUACAGCAUCAUUUCCAACUGUUUAAGAGACAAUAGUGUCAGUAGAGAUGACUGAGAUUAAAUAUGAGACAUGUGAUGUAUGUGGAAAACAAAGAGAAAUAAACAUAAAUAUCAGUUAUGAAUGCAAUAUUUGUACUGACUAUGAUCUUGAUGAAAAAUGAGGCUUAUUGCAGAAUUAAGAGUGAUUAACAAUAAAACAUCUAAACUAAAUCU